UCUGGGCACAGUGGUGCAUGCCUGUAAUCCCAGUGGCUCAGGAGGCUGAGACAGGAGGAUCUUGAGUUCAAAGCCAGCCUCAGCAAAAGUGAGGCACUAAGCAACUCAGUGAGACCCUGUCUCUA
rnacentral:sRNA from 1 species